rnacentral:rRNA from 1 species
AUGCUGGACGUAUCAGAAGUGCGAAUGCUGACAUAAGUAACGAUAAAGCGGGUGAAAAGCCCGCUCGCCGGAAGACCAAGGGUUCCUGUUCAACGUUAAUCGGAGCAGGGUGAGUCGACCCCUAAGGCGAGGCUGAAAAGCGUAGUCGAUGGGAAACGGGUUAAUAUUCCCGUACUUGUGGUAACUGCGAAGGGGGGACGGAGAAAGUUAGGCUAUCCGGGCGACGGUUGUCCCGGUUUAAGCGUGAAGGUGGAGAGACUAGGCAAAUCCGGUCUUUCAUUAACACUGAGGCGUGAUGACGAAGCACUACGGUGCUGAAGUAGCUGAUACUACGCUUCCAGGAAAAGCCUCUAAGCAUCAGGUUACCAGAAAUCGUACCCCAAACCGACACAGGUGGUCAGGUAGAGAAUACUCAGGCGCUUGAGAGAACUCGGGUGAAGGAACUAGGCAAAAUGGUGCCGUAACUUCGGGAGAAGGCACGCUGAUGGUAGGUGAAGUCCCUUGCGGAUGGAGCUGAACUCAGUCGAAGAUACCAGCUGGCUGCAACUGUUUAUUAAAAACACAGCACUGUGCAAACACGAAAGUGGACGUAUACGGUGUGACGCCUGCCCGGUGCCGGAAGGUUAAUUGAUGGGGUUAGCGAAAGCGAAGCUCUUGAUCGAAGCCUCGGUAAACGGCGGCCGUAACUAUAACGGUCCUAAGGUAGCGAAAU